CACCACAGCAGCCGAACCUAAAUUUCUGAUAUAAAAAUACUGUAACAGUCUAAUAUUAUAGAUGCAUUGUAAUAGGGAAAUGAGGAUAUGGUUUUGUCUUUUUUCUUACAAAUGACUCUUGAAAAUUUGGGCCUUUCCAAGUUGAAAUAAUUGCUUAUUCUCCAUAUGUAAUUCAUUGCUGACACCUUUCUCGAGGAAAUGGUGUAAACACCUUC
rnacentral:lncRNA from 1 species